GCCUCUGGUGGGCUUACAUCAGAGGAGGAUGAGCUCAGGCUCUGGUUUGUUUUCACCCUUAUCGGCACUGGGGCUGGCCUAGACCAGAGGCCCCUCAGUGGGAGGAGGGUACCUGGAGGGGUGCUCUGUUGGGACGGACAGAGCCAGACUUAUACAUGGUCGACCUGUUGGAUGGAAUUUGUGACUAGCUGAGUGACUUCAGAGCUGGGCCUAGAGGGCUUAAAUAAAAUCCACUCCAAGCCAUUCAAACUUUUCUUCUCAUUAGAAGAUUAUCCCCAGUGGGAGCCAUGUGCUGCCAGAAAACCUGCGAGCAGCUGGGAAACAAGCCUGCUCCAUUACCCUGCUUAUAUAAAUGACUCAAAGGAGGAGCCAUUGGGUCCAAGGCAAUCUCAGAUGUGAACUCUUUUGCUAUGAAUGCUCACCAGCCACACUGGAAUGACGGAGUCUGCAACAGCAGUGAGUGAGUCACCACCAAGGAGCUUCCUGGGAAUGCUGGCCCAGGAGGUGCCUGGAGACCGACCCUGGUGGAUCUUCAGAGGAGUGGAGAGGGCGAAGGCCAGGUUGUAGUGGGAUGGUGAGAGGGAGUUCGGGCCUUGAACAGGUCACGCGUAGACAGUUUCUUUUAAGCCUGGCUGUAAGGAGAGCGACACUCGAGAGGGGAUAUGAGGCUGGCGAAAGGCUCCAGCACUGAGAAGAGACAUGUGCACACUUUACCCACUCCCCACCCUCCACCCCCCCAACCCCCCACCCCCGCUGUGCACGCGGCUCACGUGUGCAGCACGUGGCCUCAGCUGGUGGCACUGUCUUGGGAGGUCAUGGAAACUUCAGGAGGUAGGUGUGCCUCUGAAGAGUAGAGCUGGUUCCCUCCCCCCCCCCCCCGGAUCCUGUCUACCAUAAGGGGAGACCACGAAUUUCAAGGAGAGUGGGAGGGUUUGAAGGGAAGACUGGGAAGGGAGAGAUGUUGUAAUUAAAUUAUAAUCUUAAGAUUAAUGUGUGUGUGUG